GACGAACGCUGGCGGCGUGCUUAACACAUGCAAGUCGAGCAGUAAGGCCCUUUCGGGGGUACACGAGCGGCGAACGGGUGAGUAACACGUGGGUGACCUGCCCUCAGCUCUGGGAUAAGCCUGGGAAACCGGGUCUAAUACCGGAUAUGACUCCAUGACGCAUGUUGUGGGGUGGAAAGCCUUGUGCGGCUGAGGAUGGGCCCGCGGCCUAUCAGCUUGUUGGUGGGGNGAUGGCCUACCAAGGCGACGACGGGUAGCCGGCCUGAGAGGGCGACCGGCCACACUGGGACUGAGACACGGCCCAGACUCCUACGGGAGGCAGCAGUGGGGAAUCUUGCGCAAUGGGCGAAAGCCUGACGCAGCGACGCCGCGUGAGGGAUGACGGCCU
rnacentral:rRNA from 1 species